UACGUAGGGUGCGAGCGUUAAUCGGAAUUACUGGGCGUAAAGCGUGCGCAGGCGGUGAUGUAAGACCGAUGUGAAAUCCCCGGGCUUAACCUGGGAACUACACUUGAAACUACGAUGCUGGAGUAUGGCAGAGGGAGGUGGAAUUCCACGUGUAGCGGUGAAAUGCGUAGAGAUGUGGAGGAACACCGAUGGCGAAGGCAGCCUCCUGGGCCAAUACUGACGCUCAUGCACGAAAGCGUGGGGAGCAAACAGG
rnacentral:rRNA from 1 species